UCUGCAUGCAGGUGCAAAGGACCCCUUUAAAGGAAAGACCCCGCCCAUUUACCCUCUCUUUCUGGCUCUCCUCCUUCCAGCUCUCUUUCUCUUUCUCUAUCCCGCUCUUUCCCUGGGGCAGUCAAGGCUUUUUUUCCUGUCUCCCUCUUCUCUUCUGUCCUCUGUCUCUGUGUCUCUUUACCUCUGUUCUCUCCCCUUCCCCCUCCCUUUUCCCUUUCUAAUAAAACUUCUCACUUAAGCUCUGUCUGUCUGGCUCGAUCACCCUUGCCUGCUGUGGAAUCCACCAAGGACCCCCCGAGCUUUAUCGUAACAACCUGUACCUGGCUCUUCCUGUAACUGCCACACGGUUCUUAGAGUUAGUGGCCAGGACUAUCUGCACACAGGAGGCUACCGUGACUCGUCCAAGGCCACAGAGCUAGUGAAAGAACCAGCAUUCCUACUGUCCCUGAAGCCUACUACCAUGAAGGGCAGAGGGUGUGGGUGCUGAAGGAAGACGCCAGCCCUUUGUGGAGAACCUUCCGGAAAGACCUGGGACCACCUGCUAGGAACACCCAUCUAUCCAGCAUCCGUGGAGCCAAGAUCCCUGUGACACCAACUCCUCCCUGAGGCUCCUGCAAGCCAGGAGGCUUUGUGUCCCGGCUAUGGGAAGACUCCUCUCUGUCAUUGCUGUCGCCUCUGGAGGGUCACCCUGCCGGGGAAAGCGCAUCUGGAGAAAAGUUUCCACCGGAUUUGAAAUAGUUUCAGUGGUGUGGAGGGGUGCUUUCUCCAGGAAUGUAUGCUUUUUCGUGCCCAUCCUUUUUCUCUGCUUUCAGGGGGGGGGGGUUUAAAACGUGGGACCUCCACUUUUUAAGAAAUCUGCUAGAGUUGUAUGAGCAUGGCUUCCCCUUUAAAGAGGCUGCCCCCACCCCAGAGUCUCAGCGUGGAAGACAGAGUCAUCCCCCAAGCAUGGACUCUUCAGAUGGAGGAGCUGGGAGCCCACUGCACCCCACCGCUCCAGCUGAGAAGCUCUGACCAUGGUCAUGGAUCCAGGGCAGGCAUCAAGUCACUCUGCCAGCCGGAGAGGUAGACAGCAACUUGUCACAAGGACUACACAAAGCCAGGCUGAGCCUUUCUCUUUCUCUGAUUAUCUACAGUCAAUUUCUUUUUCACCCUUCUCUGAGAAUUCCUGCACAUACCCCACAAGGAGUCCUGAGACGAAUAUGUGAUUUUCGUCCACUUGAGAUACUGAACUGGCCAAGGAAGGGAAAUGCUAGCCUUUUUUGUGCUAGCUCUGGGAUGAUGCUGGGGGGGGGGGAGGGAGGAGGAUGACUCUAAGGUGACUGACUCAUUGUGUCUAACACUUGUCUAGCUGAGACUUUCAUGCCAGCCAUGGUAUUUAACCUGCUUUUUUUAAUCCAGUCUUCAGCAGAGUGGCUGGCUACUUUAACUACACCAGGAAGCAGAUGCUGAGAGAGGUAACCGGGCUCUUUAUAAACAGUAGUAAGUGGUCAAGGUCACAUCCUGAGCUUGGUUACCUGACCUUAAGUCUUGUCCUGGUAUUUACACACCAAUACCACAGAGUACCGUCUCCCUACUUCUCCACCACAACUCCAGGGAGCUUCCCAUAUCUUGUAUGACCAGCCACAGCCACACAAGAUGGAAGGGGGUCAAUAUGCAUACAGGGGCAUGAGCCAUCGGCACUGCCAUGGCUCAGAAGUGACAACCCUCUCCAUGGGGCUGCCUGGAGUAGGACAGAAUGCAGGCCGAAUGAUAGACCCUUCCUAUUCUGCAUCCUGCAUCAAACCCGCCUGGCCGUGUCUCCCCUCCGGUGUCUUCAUAGCCAACUUCAUAGCCAGUUCCUCUGACACCUACAAGGCCACAGGGUGUUCCUGUAGGACACCUUAUUGCAUUGUUUCAUUAUGGGGGGGGGUCCUUCCAUUUCUUGGUUAGACAAUAAGAGGUUGGGUCAAUUGCGUAGCAGGUUUUCACUGUAUUGUUUUCAUCUGCAAAAUAGAAGCUGAACCUCCCUCCUCUGGAGUCAUACGAGGAAUCAAUGAUACUGUGCAUGUAUUGCAUUUUGCAUGCUAUUGACCAAUUAAUGACUAUUUCUCAGGACAGCAGAAACUUGAACACAUGUGUAAGUAGAUGGAACUAGAAGGAGGAGAAGUAACUACGGGGGAAACUGUUGGAGUAAGGAUACAGGGGAGAGGAUAGCCCUGAUUCUUUACACUCGGAUGGAAAGCAAGAGGGGUCAAAGCUCCACAACCAGUUCUCACUACUUGUGGUAGUUAACAUUCCAUAAAGGCAACCUGAAUGCUGAAUUAGUGACUUCUGAGUGCUCAGCUCCUGAGGGAAAUGCAAGGUUCAUUUUUCUUGUGAGUUUCUUUUUCCCAACACAUUGCUGUCAGACACACACACACACACACACACACACACACACACACACACACAGUUGACUCUCUAGCAUUGAAUUCAUGACCACCAUUACUGACCCUCCUCUGUGUGGCGCUUGUUUAGCCCAUGUAAUUUUCUCUGUAAGACACAUCA